UCGUGACCCUGACCAAAACAGACCGCGCACGCGUCAUCAAAUCCGUCGGCGACGGCACCGUCCGUCGCUCGGCCAAUGCCUCGACCACCUCCCCUCCUCGGAGUGGGUGGGGGCUCGAGGCAAAAGAACCCACGGCGCCGAAGGCGUCAAGGAACACUGUGCCUAACCCGUGGGCAUGGCUAGCUUGCUAGCCGUCCCAUGUGUUGCAAAGCUAUUUAAUCCACACGACUCUCGGCAACGGAUAUCUCGGCUCUCGCAUCGAUGAAGAACGUAGCGAAAUGCGAUACCUGGUGUGAAUUGCAGAAUCCCGCGAACCAUCGAGUCUUUGAACGCAAGUUGCGCCCGAGGCCACUCGGCCGAGGGCACGCCUGCCUGGGCGUCACGCCAAAACACGCUCCCAACCCCCCUCAUCGGGAAUCGGGAUGCGGCAUCUGGUCCCUCGUCUCGCAAGGGGCGGUGGACCGAAGAUCGGGCUGCCGGCGUACCGCGCCGGACACAGCGCAUGGUGGGCGUCCUCGCUUUAUCAACGCAGUGCAUCCGACGCGCAGCCGGCAUGAUGGCCUCAAAACGACCCAGCAAACGAAGCGCACGUCGCUUCGACC
rnacentral:rRNA from 1 species